AUACAGCGAAACUGCGAAUGGCUCAUUAUAUAAGUUAUCGUUUAUUUGAUAGUACCUUACUACUUGGAUAACCGUGGUAAUUCUAGAGCUAAUACAUGCUGAAAAUCCCGACUCCGGAAGGGAUGUAUUUAUUAGAUUAAAAACCAAUGCCCUCUGGGCUCCUUGGUGAUUCAUAAUAACUUUUCGAAUCGCACGGCCUUGCGCCGGCGAUGGUUCAUUCAAAUUUCUUCCCUAUCAACUUUCGAUGUUUGGGUAUUGGCCAAACAUGGUCGCAACGGGUAACGGAGGGUUAGGGCUCGACCCCGGAGAAGGAGCCUGAGAAACGGCUACUACAUCCAAGGAAGGCAGCAGGCGCGCAAAUUACCCAAUCCCGAUUCGGGGAGGUAGUGACAAUAAAUACUGAUACAGGGCUCUUUUGGGUCUUGUAAUUGGAAUGAGUACAAUUUAAAUCUCUUAACGAGGAACAAUUGGAGGGCAAGUCUGGUGCCAGCAGCCGCGGUAAUUCCAGCUCCAAUAGCGUAUAUUAAAGUUGUUGUGGUUAAAAAGCUCGUAGUUGAACCUUGGGCCUGGCUGGCCGGUCCGCCUCACCGCGUGCACUGGUCCGGCCGGGCCUUUCCCUCUGUGGAACCCCAUGCUCUUCACUGAGUGUGGCGGGGAAACAGGACUUUUACUUUGAAAAAAUUAGAGUGCUCCAGGCAGGCCUAUGCUCGAAUACAUUAGCAUGGAAUAAUAAAAUAGGACGUGUGGUUCUAUUUUGUUGGUUUCUAGGACCGCCGUAAUGAUUAAUAGGGACAGUCGGGGGCAUCAGUAUUCAAUUGUCAGAGGUGAAAUUCUUGGAUUUAUUGAAGACUAACUACUGCGAAAGCAUUUGCCAAGGAUGUUUUCAUUAAUCAGGAACGAAAGUUAGGGGAUCGAAGACGAUCAGAUACCGUCGUAGUCUUAACCAUAAACUAUGCCGACUAGGGAUCGGACGAUGUUAUUUUUUGACGCGUUCGGCACCUUACGAGAAAUCAAAGUGC
rnacentral:rRNA from 1 species